GGCCAAGUUUUUAAGGGCGCACGGUGGAUGCCUUGGCACCAGGAACCGAUGAAGGACGUGGGAGGCCACGAUAGUCCCCGGGGAGUCGUCAACCAGGCUUUGAUCCGGGGGUUUCCGAAUGGGGAAACCCGGCAGUCGUCAUGGGCUGUCACCCACAUCUGAACACAUAGGGUGUGUGGAGGGAACGCGGGGAAGUGAAACAUCUCAGUACCCGCAGGAAGAGAAAACAACCGUGAUUCCGGGAGUAGUGGCGAGCGAAACCGGAUGAGGCCAAACCGUAUACGUGUGAGACCCGGCAGGGGUUGCGUAUGCGGGGUUGUGGGAUCUCUCUUUCACAGUCUGCCGGCUGUGAGGCGAGUCAGAAACCGUUGAUGUAGGCGAAGGACAUGCGAAAGGUCCGGCGUAGAGGGUAAGACCCCCGUAGUCGAAACAUCAACGGCUC
rnacentral:ncRNA from 1 species